GUGGGUUAGGAGCCCAGUUCUGCACGUGGGUGGCGCGUUGAGUGAAGUUUGGUUUCUAGAAUUUUGUGUUAAUUAAAAAAGUUGGUGGCAAUCUGAUAUCAAUAGGGAAUUUGUUAAUUAAAAUAUAGUUAUGCACAUAUGAUAGAAUAUUUUGCAGCCCCGCCCACGCACAUCAGAAAUAAAAAAAUUCUUUUUGGUUUCUUUGCAAUAAUAGUACCAAUACUCUCUCCUUGAACUGUGCUGUUAUUUAUGGCUGGCGGGCAAGCUGUUAAAUCAAAGCUUUGCGGGUGAGACAAGAGCAGUUUCUUUCCGCAGGUCGAAUUAGAUUUAGGAACAAGCUGUGGAUAAAAUGACAGAAGGGUAAUGAUGAGUGAGCUUUCUUUGGGCCAAGUGGGUCUGUGAUAGGAGCUGGUGUGGUGGUCACUUGCAAAAGAACUCUCCUUAAGAAGGUCUUCUCCCAGAGGCGAGGAGCCCUCUGCAGAGGGGGUUAGGGCUGUACAGUUAAGAUGCAGAAGUUGAGGGGGUGUUGUUAGGGGCUUGCUGGAGGAGAGGCAUUGAAUGAGGAACCUCUGAAAAUGCUCCACAGAAAGAAUCAGCCCUGCGAACUUGCCACACCUGGAAGGCGCCACUGUUCUCCGGGUUUCCCAGGCGGGAGUCAGAGGACAAUUCGCAGCUACUCCUGAACUGCAAGCUCUCUGAGGGAUCCUGCGCAGAUCCCCUUCCCUAAGCUUGAAGCUAGAGGCAGGCCUCAGACACCCACCCACUGCCUUCGGUGGAGGCUCAUCAGGGCUCUCUACGCUUAGCCUUUCACGUCUUCGUUAUAGGCAGGAUGAUGGAUUCAAGGAGUUUUAAGCCAUAUCCUCCUUUGCAAAUGCACCAGGAUGGUCUGGUUCGCUACUCAUUUUGAAAUAUUGAUUCAUGCCUCCCGAAGAGGAAGAGUUCUGGUUUGAUGCUGCAGCAUUGUGCAAAUCAACUUGCAGGAGCAAGCAAACCUUUCAUGGAAGAGAAGAGCUUGCUCAACUCUUGCAGAAACUGAGGCUACCGCUAGAUUCAGACUUGUCCAAAUCCUGGUUCCACCCACGGGCAGAGCUCAGUUCUAAGCAGUUCUUUCUCAGUGUGCUUCCUGUGGGUGCCAUUAUAUUGAGAGAGCUGAAUUCAAAGGAGUGCCAGCAGAGGGGAACUGUGUCCUUCCCUAUUGACUAUCUCAGGCAGAUCCUGUAACUUCUUUAGUCAUCUCAGAUAAUAAAAAGUCCUCAAGUCGUUUUCAGACCCAAGGGUAAUCUUUGAGUAAUUAAAAUUCUAGUUGAGUGUCAUCAUGAUGUAACAGCUUUCCCUUAUCCAUUUGAAAGCUCGUUUGCACCUUCGUUUCAAGCCUGAUUAAAAAAAUAUCAAACCACACAGAAGAGUUUAUUAAAAAAGCAAUAGUCACCUGCCCCACCCCUCUCCCCAUCCUCAGGCUCACCGCCCAAGAAGGAGCCGUUGAUAAACUCUUGUUCGUUUUUGUGUUUGAGUGGUAAAUUUUAGUUGUAGGCAAAUUUACUUCAACCUCAGCUUCUCAGUUAGUACUCAGGUUCUCCCACCUGGCAGUGUUAAUGUUUUGGAGAAAUGAGGGGAGACCCCUUACAGACAAGCUGCGGCACUUGAGCCCUCUCACCUGGACCUUGCCCCGCUGAUGGUUUUGAGACAGCAGGUAAACUGAAGGCCUGUAUGAAGCACCAGAACUCCAGGCUUGCUGCUGUGGUUUUUUUUAAGGCCAUUUGUUUAAAAGCUUUUUAAAAAUAGGAGUGAUGGUUUGUCAGAAGUCAUGCUUUGGUAACUUUUUGGACCCAAAAGCCUGCUCUUGUAAGCCUGGCUGCGGUAGUAUUUGCAUGCAUUGGGUGUGGCUUUGAUUGCACUGCACUCAUGUGUUUGUUAAGUCUGUCUCUUGGGAGCAAUGCUCCUCCUGUGCCUUACUGUGUACAAAGAAUUGACUCAGUACAGCUUGUGCUGCCUUAAGACCAAGACCCUGACAGCGGACCCUCCUUGCUCUUUUAGCCACGCCUUCUGAGGCAGCUCUUCUGCAAGUCUGAUUGUAAGCUCCUUGAGGAUGAGAACUGAGUUUUGACUCCCUGUAUAGCCCCAGUAUCUGGUACAUGUUACAGAGGCCUGUUACGAAGCACACGUUUCCAGCUUGUUCCAGUGUCUGGGUCCAACGAUUUUCCCUUUCCUUCCUCCAAUUAGCCACAAGAUGGCAGCCUAAGCCACGCUGGUACUUAAUUUCCUGUGAGGAAGAAGUGGUGCUUUGGGUUAAAAUGCCCUUCUCUGAGCUAGAAGAGGAUCCCUUUGAAGUGAGAUUAAGUCACACAUUACAGAAGAUUUCUCUGAAAAUGUUCUCUGCAUCUUCUCUUCUUCAUUGACUCUGAGGAACAAUCUGGAAUACUAACAAGCAAGACAAAGGAGAGAUUUUCUUCUCCUUGCCUGAGGGACUAUUGGGCUAUUUAGAAAACAGUUCUAGGGAGAGCACGGAGCUCUGAGCUCUGGGAAACAGGGACACCGGGAUGCGGUGGGGGUGUGGGGGGGAGUAUUUACUGACUCCCUCGUCACACUGUUUUGUGUAAACUGUGAGUUCUAGAGGUAAGGUCUAGAGCAGGGGGUCAGCAAACUAUGGCCCUAGGGCCAAAUCUGGGGCUCUGCUUGAUUUCGUAAAUAAAUUUACUUGGGACGCAGCCGUGACCAUUUGUUGACAUGUCGUCAGUCUUUUGCACAACUGUGAAUAGUUGUGACAGAGACCAUUUGGUCUGUAAAGCCAAAAGUAUUUACUAUCUGGUCCUUUCAGACAAAAUUUGGGCCAUGUGGUCUAGAGAGAUGUGAACUUUUUAGAAGACUUAGUAUUUGGUUAGCAUAUUUUGGGGAAAUAAUAUCUGGUUACCUUUUUGGGGAAAGACCUGUCUUUCUUUCCAAGAAGCAAACAUUCUGAGUGGAAAUGAUAUGGAUUCCUUGACGUUUCUUAGAGUUGUACCCGUAUGAGGCAGAAUUAUAUUUAUUAAUUCAUUUCAGGAAUUACGCAUUUAAGUAUACUGUAUCUUUUCUUUGUAAAGUAGAAAAUAUGGGCAUACCUGAGGUAAAUUCCUCGUCGUUUCUUAGCAUGCUUUCCCAUAGCAGGGCUGUGAAGUCACUCUUAUACUAAUUCCUUCAUUGGUCAAGAUACCCACCAACGGCCCCAUAGCCACUUACCUUUCAUUCAAGAAAUGUUCUUGAUGUGGAUGGUGUGGCUUAUUUAUGGGUUUGUAAGUGCUCAGACAUUGCUGAGUCAGAAUCACGUUAAUUUGUUUUGCAAGUUUUAAACAAAUACAUUUUCUGCAGAUUCUCUUCCUGACAAAGCAUUUUGGGUAAAGAUAGUAUACAUUCCUUACAGUUUCUUAGUGUUCUUAUGCUUACAAAAAGAGACAAAUCAAACUUAUUAUUUUUGCGCAUACACGGAUCAGAGAUUAACUGGCCCUUGCUAGAUCCCCUUAGUUGAAGCAGAUGAUUGUGGGCGGAAGGUCUGUUUUUGGCAAGACCUGCAGAAAGGAGCUGCCGGAAGGGAAAAUUCUCAGCUUGGGAGUCCUGAUGGGGAACAAAGCAGGUAUAAAGAGAAAAGAGAGUCCACCCGACUCUCAACUGUACCUUUUCUGUGGAAAGUUUUUCAGGCAGGUAGGGGAAAUUCUUCUGUAUGUUCCAAGGUAGUUAUGGAAUAGGGUUUCCCAUCUACCUAAGAAGGGAAUUGGGCAUGGGAGGCUGUCAGAGUCGUAUACUGUAUCCCGUCUUCUUGGAAUCCUCUCCAGAUUAUUGUAGUUAAAUUUAUUUGAAAAAUAGUAUAUGUUAUUUUCAAAACAUUCUUUUUUCCUUGCAUCCUCUAGCCCUAAUUAUUUAUUUACUUAUUUUUUUUGAGGAAGAUUACCUCCGAGCUAACAUCUGCUGCCAAUCCUCCUCUUUUUGCUGAGGAAGACUGGCCCUGAGCUAACAUCCCUGCCCAUCUUCCUCUACUUUGUAUGUGGGACACCUGCCACAGCAUGGCUUGCCAAGUGGUGUCAUGUCCAUACCUGGGAUCCGAACUGGCGAACCCCAAGCCGCCAAAGGGGAACGUGUGCACUUAACCGCUGUGCCACGGGGCCAGCUCCUAGCCAUAAUUAUUUAUAUGAUUUAUAUUUAAAGAAUUCAGUGUUUUACUUCAUUUCUUUGCUGUUCUAGAGUUCUUAAUGAAGAUGUGUGCUUCAAUGUGCCAAUUUCUUCAAGCACUUUUAACAAUGAAGUCUGGGCCUUUAUUUCAUAUACAGAUAUAACAGUGGACACUUUUUUCCAAUAUGCUGUUAAGAAGCACUGAUAUGGCCCAAGUCAUCCUCACGGGGACAACUCUGUAGCCUUUCCCUGCAACCCUCCUCGUCCCCUCUAAGCUCAUCUUCGCCCUGCAGCCUGAGUGAUCCUGCUUAAGAGAGCCCCUCCUCAGUGGCUUCCCAUGCACCAGAAGAAAAUCUGGGCACUCUACCCCGCCUCACGAAGCCCUUCCAGGGUUCUUUCGGCAUCAUCAUUUGAGAACUUGGAGCAAGACUGUGGUUGAUUUUCUACCCUGUACAAUAAUAAGAUACACAGGUUUAUUUUGCUCCCAGAGUAAAGAUGGUUUUAUGAAGCUACAUCUUCCCUGUGAAGAAUCUACCGUUACAUGGACAAGCAGAAGGAAGCUCUAGACACAGAAAGAAAAACAUAUGCAUACAUUUCUUUGAUGCAAAAUUACAUGUGAAGUCCUGUAUGGACAGCCUUAUAGAAGAUUGGCAUUUAGAAUAGAUCACCAGAGGGUGGCUUUUGACUGUAGAAAAUGUGUGUUUAUGGAGUGCCAGAUGUAAAGGCUGAGAAUCGGAGAGCUGUAUAGAUUGCUCAAAGAACUGCUAAGAGCAAAACACUGCUUUGAGCUUUAGUUGAUACAUUGUGAAGUGUGAUCUCUGAACAGGGAAGCAUUCAUUGAGUUCUUACCAGAUACGACAUAAGGAAAUCGAUCUUAUGGGAGAGUGGAAGGCAGUGUGUCCAAAAGAUGGAACAGGUGUUUUCCUGAAGGCAUUCAUAAUUAAGGAGAGAUAAAACAUAUGUGCACCAUAAGCAGUAUGAGAACCACUAUAAAGAAGGGAGACUAGAAAUACCAGGGCACCCAGUGUAUGUGUGCUGAGGGGUAAAGACAGAUGGAGAGGGAUGACAGGCUCCUGGGGGAAGAUUCUCACAGAAGGUCAAUUCUGAGCUGGGGUUUAAAUGAUUCACAUUGUUGUAAAUGAAAAGGAGGUCAUCUGGGGAGGAGACAACUGCUUGAGCAAAGGUAGUGAGGUGGAUCCUAACGAAGUACAUACAAGAGAAAGCUCAGAAGGACAGAAGCUGGGGGGCCAUGUCGACAAAGAAAGUUGUGCUUCCUUAAUGUACUGUCAAAUAUCUAGAUAAGGACGAGAGUUCUGAAAACAAAUAGAAAUGUACAAGAAACGUACUAAUGCUUAA
rnacentral:lncRNA from 1 species